CAAUCUUAAUUUAAUUCUAGUUAAAUCCUAUUGAACUUCAUUCAAACUUUAGACCAAAAUUAAUUGAAUCUUAAAUCCUAAUAAAAUCUUAAAUCCUAAAUCAAAUCCUAAACAAACCUUAAAUCAAACCCCAACCAAAUCCUAAACCAAAUCCUAACCAAAUCCUAACCAAAUCCUAACCAAAUCCUAAACCAAAUCCUAAAUCCUAAAUAAAAUCCUAAUCAAAUUCUAAACCAAAUCCUAAACCCUAAAUCAAACCCUAAUCCAAACCCUAAACUCUAAACCAAAUCCUAACCAAACCCUAAACCAAACUGUAGUAAUUCCUAUAACAGAUUUAAACCUCAAUAACUAAUGAAUAAACCGUUGAUCUUAACUCAAAUU
rnacentral:lncRNA from 1 species